CUGACAUGUGUGCGAGUUAACGGGCGAGUAAACCCGUAAGGUGCAAGGAAGCUGACUGAUUGGAUCCCCUAGUGGGUUGCACCACCGACCGACCUUGAUCUUCUGAGAAGGGUUCGAGUGUAAGCAUGCCUGUCGAGACCUGAAAGAUGGUGAACUAUGCCUGAGCGGGCGAAGCCAGAGGAAACUCUGCCGUAAUUUGCAUGAAGAUUUCAAAUAAAACAUUUCUCAUUACAGAAUGUGAAAGUAAGAUGUUCACAAAACCACCUAAACGA
rnacentral:ncRNA from 1 species